rnacentral:rRNA from 1 species
CCUACGGGGGGCAGCAGUGGGGAAUAUUGGACAAUGGGGGCAACCCUGAUCCAGUCAUGCCGCGUGUGUGAAGAAGGCCCUCGGGUUGUAAAGCACUUUCAGUGAGGAAGAACGCCUGGUGGUUAAUACCCAUCAGGAAAGACAUCACUCACAGAAGAAGCACCGGCUAACUCCGUGCCAGCAGCCGCGGUAAUACGGAGGGUGCGAGCGUUAAUCGGAAUUACUGGGCGUAAAGCGCGCGUAGGUGGCUUGAUAAGCCGGUUGUGAAAGCCCCGGGCUCAACCUGGGAACGGCAUCCGGAACUGUCAAGCUAGAGUGCAGGAGAGGAAGGUAGAAUUCCCGGUGUAGCGGUGAAAUGCGUAGAGAUCGGGAGGAAUACCAGUGGCGAAGGCGGCCUUCUGGACUGACACUGACACUGAGGUGCGAAAGCGUGGGUAGCAAACAGGAUUAGAUACCCGAGUAGUC